AAAAAUAUAACAAAAUUUAUUGUCCGGUAUAGAACUAUACCCAUUUGUACCAAUCAAAACGGUGCGAAGUAAACCGAACUAACAUGAUAAGAAAACUCUUUUAAAA
rnacentral:sRNA from 1 species